rnacentral:rRNA from 1 species
AUGUCAUUUACCGGCGUGUCUAUAGUCGGCCAGGGCCAGGCCACCGGCCACGCCAUCAACGUCGACGCGGCCAGCGGGUCCCACCUGCUUGUGAUCAAUGGCUACUCGCACACUAAAGCCACUGCAGCUGCUGGCGCAGUAAUCCUCUCGCUCCCUUUCAUGGUAGGAGGACAUCGUUGGCGCAUCUUCUACUGCCCGAAAGGCGCCCCGUCGGGCUGCGCCGAGGACUCUGUAUCGCUCAUUCUUUCCAUUGUUAAUAAAAAUGUUACGGAGGAUCUCAAGGUGCAGGUUGGAUUUAGUUUCCUCGAUCAGCAUGAGAAGCAGGAUUCAGCGUAUAUUCGUGCAAAAGAGCCGUGCAACUUCUCUAGCGGUAAUCGAUGCUGGGUUCACAAGAAUUUCGUGAAAAGAGAUGCCCUUGAGAAAUCAAAGCAUCUAAACGAUGAUUGUUUCACCAUCCGAUGCGACCUUGCCGUGGUACCGCCUCCUACCAUACAAGAGCUUAUCAGCAACCUCCUCAUGUCCAAGGAGGGCACUGACGUGACAUUUAAUGUUGGCGGCGAGACGUUCGUUGCACACCGGUCCGUGCUUGUGGCCCGGUCUUCGGUCUUCAAGGCAAAGCUCUUUGGCCCCAUAAAGGAAGACAUGAUAGCUAGUGUCAUACAAAUAGAAGACAUGGAAGCAAAAGUGUUUAGAGCCUUGCUUAGCUUUAUUUACACCGACUUGCUACCCGAGAUGGAGGUGGACAUGGUGGAGGAAAGAGAAGCCCAAGAAGUCUUGUGGCUGCAACACUUGAUUGCAGCGGCAGAUAGAUACAAUCUCCAAAGGCUGAAGGUACUAUGUGAAGAUAAGUUAUGCAAACUCGUAGACGUGAGCUCGGUGAGGACUAUUUUCAUUCUAGCCGAGAGGCACAAUUGUGGUGGAUUGAAGGAUGUAUGCCUUGAAUUCCUCAAGACACCUUCUAAUUUGAAGGAGAUAACGGCGACUAACGUCUUCGACGAUAUAAUUAGAACAUGCCCCUAUCUUUUAGAGGAGCUCAUUGGCAAGCUUGCUUCCUAA